AUAGAUAGUAGGACUAUUUAAUUUAACAGAAUUAAACUGUAUGGAUUAAUUAAUGUAAUUCUCAAAAUAAAAUGACUGCUUUGUGGAUAAUAAUAAUAAUAAUAAUAUUGAAAGAUUACAUAAUAAUUCUUCCUAGAAUAUUGAUAAAAAAAAUUCUUCCUAGAAAUAAAAAUAAAUAAACAUCAGUAAGAAAAGAAAAGAUCCACUUCAAAGUCCUUAGCAACUAUUACCUUAAAAUCUACGUUUUGAGUUUCAACUUGUGUAAAAAAAGUGUGAGCUUCUCUCUUUCUAACCUUCUACAGAGAGAAUUCUCCUUUUUUUUUUGGUUGUGUUUGUUGUGGGGUAAUUGCCAUCUUUUUUGCCUUAGAGGCUUCUGUUGCCCCUACUGGGCAAGGAGGCUCCUCCCUGAUCGAUUCUGUGGAUCUUACCUUCUCCUCACCGGGUUGGGCUGUUUUGUUUGCUUUGUCUGUUAGCUUCACAGGUAUGAGGUUAAGUGAGAGGGUGUUGUAUGGUAGACCUGUGCUGUAUUUUCUUGGUGUUUGGGUGGCGUGCUGUAUUUUCUUGGUGUUUGGGUGGC
rnacentral:misc_RNA from 1 species